CCUACGGGAGGCAGCAGUGAGGAAUAUUGGUCAAUGGGCGAGAGCCUGAACCAGCCAAGUCGCGUGAAGGAUGACGGCCCUACGGGUUGUAAACUUCUUUUGUCAGGGAGCAAUUGGGUCCACGCGUGGGCUUAGCGAGAGUACCUGAAGAAAAAGCAUCGGCUAACUCCGUGCCAGCAGCCGCGGUAAUACGGAGGAUGCGAGCGUUAUCCGGAUUUAUUGGGUUUAAAGGGUGCGUAGGCGGAAUAUCAAGUCAGCGGUAAAAAUUCGGGGCUCAACCCCGUCGUGCCGUUGAAACUGAUGGUCUUGAGUGGGCGAGAAGUAGGCGGAGUGCGUGGUGUAGCGGUGAAAUGCAUAGAUAUCACGCAGAACUCCGAUUGCGAAGGCAGCAUACCGGCGCCCAACUGACGCUGAAGCACGAAAGCGUGGGUAUCGAACAGGAUUAGAUACCCCGGUAGUC
rnacentral:rRNA from 1 species